UACGAAGGGUGCAAGCGUUACUCGGAAUUACUGGGCGUAAAGCGUGCGUAGGUGGUGAGUUAAGUCUGUCGUGAAAGCCCCGGGCUCAACCUGGGAAUGGCGAUGGAUACUGGUUCGCUAGAGUGCGGUAGAGGAGAGUGGAAUUCCCGGUGUAGCAGUGAAAUGCGUAGAUAUCGUAAGGAAGACCAGUGGCGAAGGCGGGUCUCUGGACAGUUCCUGACGCUGAGGCACGAAGGUCAGGGGAGCAAACGGG
rnacentral:rRNA from 1 species